GUUGAGUGCUGUGCAGGGUUGAGCAUCCCUUCCUUCAGCAUCAAUCACAGAACCAGCUCUUCCAGCAGUGGUACUGAGCCUGCAGGUAUUGGAGGAAUGGCUGAGGAUCAUUGACUGGUGCCAAGGCCAGCAAGAGGAGGAGAUGGAUUGCUCUGCUGCCGGAGCGGGGCUGUCGGAGCUCUGCUGCAGUGACACAGCCUGCGAGCUCCAGGCAGCACUGCCAACAUGAAGUGUUUGGCUGAUGUUUGCAGGUGCUUUUGUCUGAAGGAAUCAAGCUGGGCUGGGCUCAUUUUUCAAGGGCAACUUUCUCUUCUCUUUGUUCUGCGCCUCGGGUAACUUCUGGUUCAGAGAGUCACUCAAAAAGUUGCACACAGGUAGCUUCCCUUGGCCUUCAGGAGGAAAACACCCUUCCCAACCCUGCACACUAAGGCAGAAAUCUGAUAGGGAGAAGCCAGAGAUUUCUGCUGUCCAGGGGCUUCCAAUGCCUGUCCUGGAGGCAGAGGGUCCCAGUCCCUCCAGGAGGACUGUGCAGUCUCUGCAGGGCUCAGAAAGCCACAUAAGCUGCUAUGUGGAGGUAAAGCAGGAAGACGUGGCUGCUGCUGAAUCAUGGAGAAUCUCCCAAGCAGAAGUGAGAAAAUGCCUCCUAAUGAGAGUGGCUUGUUGUGGGUUUUUUCGAUUGUUUUUUUAGGUAACAUAAUUUUCCAAUUAGUCAGUGAAGAAUUAUCAAAGGAGUUCGACCAACAAUAUUCUCCCCUCCAUCACUGCUCCCCCAGAGGUAGCACUAGGGGAAGUCUUCAAAUUACAUCCAGGUCUGGAGUCCUCAGCACAAGAAGGAUAUGGACCAGUCCAGAGGAGGUCGUGGAAAUGCUCCAGGGGCUGGAGCACCUCUGCUAUGGAGACAGGCUGAGAGAGCUGGAGGUGUUCAGCCUGGAGAGGAGAAGGCUCCAGGAAGAUAUUAGAACACCUUCCAGUGCUCUAAGGGUCAGAGGACACUCUACCACUGUCAGCAGUACCUCUUUGUCCUGUGCACUCUUGGACAACUCGUCAAGCACCUCCACACAGAUGUGUCCUCUGGAGCUGUCAGUGGAGGGGUUCCAUCUCAUUUGAUCAAUCUGCCUGUUGAAAUCCCAGGUGGUGCCUGAAAAAGCAGCUAAAUCCAGUCCUGUUCCUUGGGAUGUGCUGUGUGAAUUCACCUUGGUGGGUGGAUCUGCUCCACUCCAUCUUGGACCUCCAGCCCCUGUCUCUGUGUUGGACUACAUGACAUGCUGCCUUCAAACCCCUCCAGAACUGGUCAAAAUUCCAGGAACAGCACAUCCCUGCUUUGCUCUCUUUAGAAAUGAAGGUCUUAGCGUGUUCAGUGGCAUGUAGCUGAGACAUAAACCACUUGGAUGGGAACUCAAGGGCAGCGCUUUCUGCACAGGUACCGAUGGCUGCGUGAGCUUGAGACAGAACAAAGACUCAGGGCUUUGUGUGUCACACAGAUUCACAUUCCCAGGCCAACCACCCCUCUCCUACAACUGAGAGUCUUCACUUUAUUUUCACAUGGCCCUGGGGAAGGCACUGGGCUCUCCCAUUGUGCCUUUCAGAUGUGCCGGGUCACACUUGGGUCAGUUCUCCCGGCAGCCACGGCACCAUCACUGUGGUGCUGCCACCUCGCUGUGACAUGGCACGUGGGACACACCUGCUGUGGCACUUCCCACAGUGGGAGGGACUCACAUCUGCCUAAGCAUGGGAAGAGGCACUAACAGCUGGGGAUGCACAGUCCAGGGGGUUUGCCUCCUCUGUUUGUGAGCAGAUCCAUCGCUCUUUGCCCUCAUCUUUUCAAAGUUUGCCCUCCAUCCUCCCAUCCAUCCCCUCAUAUUUUCUCAUGUGCUUGCUGGGUCAUGGGGGAGUUGUAGGGUAAAGGCAGCACCACCUUUCAAACCCCCUAUAUCUGUGCCUAAGUAAAUUCUCAUGAGGUCACAUCUGCUGUGCCACACACAGGACUGAUUUGAAGAUUUGCCUCCAACAUCAACCUUGUCAUUUCUGAGUUGCUCAGGACCAUUAACUAUAACAUCAAUGCAUGGAUGAGGCAGCCAGUGAUGUUCUCUCUUUCAGGAGUGGGUACAUUUUUUACAGUAGGGAAAUCCCAAACUGCACAAACACACAAAAAGUUCUUUUGUGUCUCUUUUUGUUGUUGUUGUUGCUGCUGUUGCUUCUCCAGACCUCAAGGAUGAGUGGUGCAUUAGAAUGGCAGGAAAUGACCAUGUUGCAUGGUAAUAACUGGAUUAAGAGAUUCAGUAGCAAACUCUCACCUAUGCUGUUUAUAAUGCAGAUUAACUAUUUAAUCCAUCUGCAUCUCCAGCUUCAAUUCUCCAUUCCCCUUGUCUCACUGUCCUCUGACAUCCUCCCCAGCCCCUCCAGUACCUUGCUGCUCGUAGCUGAAUAUCUCCUGUGCUCUCCUCCUGGGGAUGUGACUUUGCCCACACCCCACUGGUGGUUCUGCUCAGUUACUCCAUCCUAACUCUCUGAAGUGAGGGCUGGGAGCUGCCUGGUGCCUGACCAAUGAGCCCUACAAUUGCUUGGUCUCUGGGAACUGCUGUAAUGACCGUGGUGGCGGGGAUGAUUAAUCAGGAAAUGGUAAAGAAAAUGCUUAUAAUGAAGCACUUGAAUUUCUGACUUUACUGGGGGGUACAAACUCACAAACAAGGUCAUGGAAAAGAAAUACAUUGAGGAUGACUGAAUACAAGGACUUUAACUCUGGGUCAGGAAGCCUCUAAAUCACAAACUGUUGCAGACUGGAAGGAUAUCACGGGGAAAUAUUUUACUCUGUCCUGUCCUGUCCUGUCCUGUAUGUUGGUCAGUGCUGAGGACAGUGCUGAGCCUUUGUACCACUGUGUCACACCCAGACAUGACCUGAUUUGCCAAAUUUUGGUGGUGGAGACAGACAGUGAGGGGCCCUGCUCACGUCCCAUGAGAUGAGGGGUGGAGCAUCUCCCUUGGUGUGCUUGUCACACACCUUCCUUCUCUGCUUGCACUGGCCAUGCCCUGGGGGAGCUACACCCAUGUCCUUGGAGCACAUGGCAAAAACAUCUCCAAACCUGGACCCCCCCUCACUGCUUGACCACAGUGCAAAGGUAGGGCCCAGCCCAGGAUAUCAUCUCUGCUGUCUUUGGUGAAGAGUCUCUUCCAGUAUUUAAAACUCCUCUGCCAGCUUGGUGUGGGACUAAGCAGGACACCCUGAGUGCCAGGCUCAGCCUGCAAACAUAAAGUGCAGUGAGGUUGGCCUGAAGUCCCAGGGGCAGGAAAGGUCCUGCUUCCUGCACAAACAGAGCACAUUUCACACCCUUUUCCCAUUGGAAUUUCACCACCUACAUUCUCAGCAAUGAAGACUGUUCCUAGUGAGGUAUUUUUUUGUUUCCUCUGCUAUUUGGACUAGAAUCCACAAAGAUGAUAUAAGUGUGAAUGUAUGUUUGUUAAAAAAAACCCAAAUACAUCCCUGAGCCACAAAGACUGGCUUUUAAAGGGGCCUCUGCCACAAAGGGCUGAGGGUGGUUAAUGCAGCCCAUACCAGCCACUGGCUGAGGGGAAUAAGCAGCGUUGCUGAUAAGCUCAUUUGAUAAAGCUGUUGCUGGGCACUGCAGAUGCAGGCUAAGUCCAGCCUUUAAUAUCCAUCCCAGUCCUGCAGGCAGAGCUCUCAGGCAGUGCUGCCAGGACUAUUGUAACCCUGUCCAGCUCUUGUGCAGCUUUCGGCGAGUCCUGACAAGUGCUCACGGUGUGGUCUGACCUGUCACAGCUGUCACUGACCUGGCCAUGGAUCAUGGGCUGACACCUCAGCAAAUGGUACACACUGAUGCAAGUUGGCAGCAAGAUUCCACGUGCAGCUUGGACCCUUCUUGCAGCUCUGUGGGCUUAUGGUGUCCUGUGUUGUUGAAGCAAUGACUAAACCCCAUGUAAUCAGUCCAGCUGGUCACUUGACCACAGAAGAUGUUCCCUGUUGGAAGCUGCUGAAGCUGCCCCGUGAGAUUCCACGUUGUGGCUGGGUUAUAACAGCCUUCACAUCCAUGAGCUUCUCCCAUCAUGAAAAACAGUGAGUGGGAGGGAGUUGUUCAAGGACUAUCUGAAUAGGGUGGGUGUGUGGCCUCACCUGCUAGAGAGGGCACAGGAUUGCUCUGUGCCCCAGUCCUCACACUGUAAAGGACUGCAUCCCUGGGGAAUCAUGCUGGGCUUGGGUGCUGCUGAUUGCCAGGCUACACUAACCUAACUAAACAGCUGAUGUCUUACCAGCUCUCAUGGCAUCCUGUCAAUUGAGGAAUUGGGAAGGGAGGAUCUGGGCUCAGGGUGUUUUCAGGACAUGCAAGACAUGUGCCACUUGAAAUGUGGCUCAUCUCACUUCUGAGCAUGAGGAGAGAUGAGUUGAAGUCUGGGAUUUGCACUGGGUUGGAUCCCAGAGCCCAUGAUUUGAAACCCAGUGCUCAUGGCUCCUUUUAUUUGCUACACUGGAGGGAGAAUGGUUUAUUAGGAUUAUGUACCUCAGUGGUCAUCCCUGGGUUUAUGUAGAUGGCCUGAAACCAAGGAAAGGAGUUCCUAGUGACUUCUCCAUUUAACUCCAUGCUGGGAGCACAGUUUUCCAGUCGACUCUGAGGCAGGGUUGAAAGGUCCUGAAGAAAAAAAUAAUUUGCUUUAGGGUUCUGCAUGACUUGUCUUCAGCAGGAAUGUUUGAAUGCCUGGUGUUGCACAUGGGCACCAGACUGUGCCUGGAGGAGCACAGGGGCAUUCCCCAGCCCCUCUAUCAUGGUCCAUCCAUGCACGAUCAGCACUUUCCUCCACUGCUGACCUGGAGGUGGCAGAACCUCAGGGCUCCCGUUAACGUGGUGCUGCUCCAGAAGACAUUAAACUGUUAUCUCUGUGUCUCACUCCAUCAGCGUUUUUUUCAGUCUGUAUUAAAAAUCCUACUAUGGUUUUUUAGCACAAAAGGGGAAAGAAGAGAACCUUCUAUGUUCAGGACAUUUGGGACAUCACUAGAAUUUCAUCCAUCUGUGAUUGGCCCUCAGACCGUCAUACUCAAUUUAUUUCUCAGCCAAAGUUUUUCAGCCAUCUGCUCAAGUGGAACAGCUUCCAGCAUUUAUUCCCAAUAGUGCUCCUCUGAGGGAGCGCAUGGAUUUUCUCCAGUACGACAGCAUCACUAUUUUCCAAAAAAACCCUCAGCCCAACCCCGCAGUGACUGGCGGGGAGCCCUCCCUGCUCCGCACCCCGACCUUGAAUUUUAAGCAAUUGAUCAAGAAAACAGGGAACAGUUUCUCUUCCACUUCGGACCACCGUGACUGAUGUUUUUUAAAGGGCUCCUCUGCAGAGAUGUUAAUGAGGUCGCCUUGGAUACUCAGCUAAAAACGGUGUCGCUUCAGCUUCUUUUAUGUCAGCGAUCAACAACAACAACAAAACCACAACAACCCAUCAGCGGAUCUGCUUGAGGAGGGGUGGGGGACUCCUGGCAGGUGACUGGAGCAGAUAGCGAUUCACAGUCCACCUGCUGCCAGCAGUUUGGUGCUGAGCCUCUCUGAUUGUCUAGUGGAGCAUCAGCACAAUGAUAUCCAUAAUUAUGAUCUCCUUAAAUUGAAAAAAAAAAAAAAAAAAGAUUAAACCCCCUGAUUUUUCCAGCCAUCCAACUGAAAGUGCCCCAGGAAAUGACUUUAAAUUGGGAGCCAGAAGAGGUUCAGGGACAGUCAGGGAAAUAAAAGCAGUUUCCCUGUGUGAACAGAGGGGAGGCUGUGUGUCCUUAGGGAAUUGUUUGCAGGGCUCAGAGACCCACUUGCAUUACUGCUGCUUAAUGAGUUACCAUCCAUCAGCUGAGCUGUGAGAAUGGACUGUGCCCAGGUUUAAAAAUCAGGUAAAACCACCUGAGGCAGGAAGACAAGGCUGGUGCAUUCAAUACUUUGAUGAUCCACCCAGCACGGUGCUCACCACGUCUCCAAACAAGUUGCUUGUCUUCUCUGAACCUCACUCACCCUCCUUGUGAUCAAGAGUGAAUUCAGUGACACAUCUCAGAGGUUCCCUGGAGCUCUGAGGGCAAACAUGGAAGCACUGAUGGAAAGGUGUGAGCAAGGAAAAGGAGUAGCUUUGGAAAGCACCUUUACACCUCGUUUUCUCGGUCAUCCAUGUCUCUCUGCAUCAUAUAUCACACCCAUGUGUCCGGAGGAAAGAAAGAUCCCCUCCAACCCAGCAGCCCUGUAACGGAUGGACCUUCCCGACUCGCAGCGAGCUGACAGCUUGUGAGAACAACAGCUUGAAUUACUGAAAGAACUUUUCCCACUGAGUUAAUCUGCAAUGGAUGUAGGUGACCUUCUAAAGGCAUCUAUUAAUCAAAAAACCAGUGCCCAUUCACUGUGCUAGGCUGAGCCCUUUGGGGGAGGGGGGGAUACUAAUUUCCCUCCGAGAUAAAUCAUAAUUUGACAAUAAUCAUCUGCCCUAAUCACUCCG